rnacentral:rRNA from 1 species
GAUGAACGCUGGCGGCGUGCCUAAUACAUGCAAGUCGAGCGAAGCGGGGACGGGUGAGUAACACGUGGAUAAUCUCCUAUAAGACUGGGAUAACUUCGGGAAACCGGAGCUAAACCGGAUACAUACUGAUGGAUCCGAGCUGCAUUAGCUAGUAGGUACGUUAACGGAUUACCAAGGCAACGAUGCCUAGCCGACCUGAGAGGGUGAUCGGCCACACUGGAACUAGGACGCGGUCCAAAAUCCUACGGGAGGCAGCGUUAAGGAAUCUUCCGCAAUGGGCGGAAGCCUGACGGAGCAACGGCGCGUGAGUGAUAAGGGGCUUCGGAGCGUAAAACUCGGUUAUUAGGGAAGCGGUACCUAAUCAGAAAGCCACGGCUAACUACGUGCCAGCAGCCGCGGUAAUAC